CUAGAUAUUUGGCAUUGCUGACAUCCUGAAGAAAUAAAUUCCAAGAUCAAGUUGCAUAACAAGAUUUAUGUCUGACACUUCCUGACACAGGUCUUCUCUAACUGCAGAAUCUGCACUCGUGCUGCAGGACCCAUUAAUGCUAAGUAUUUCACUGUUGUAUAUUUCACUGUUAUUUUUUUUCUCCACUAUGAUUUCACUCUGGAUUUCACUCCACUAUGGUUUUUCAUUCACUAGUUGCCUGGUUUAUAGAUUACUGUGUAACCUGGGCUUUGUAUUUGAACUCAUCAGGAUCUUGGCAGAAGUGUAAAACCAGCAUAUUGAAUAAUUGUUGGAAAGUUGUCACCAACAGUUCCCAAAUGUUUUCUCCAGCUGAUUCAGUAAGAUCCCUGAAUGUGUGCUGAUAUCCUCUUAUCUGUUUUGUUUUUUUUUUCAGAAUUAUUAAAGAGUUAAUAGAUGGUGUGUGGGUAAAAUUCUGGAUUUUACUUAUGAUAUUUGAAAUUUAGUGGUCCUAAUUUGUUUUAAGCACUUAAAAUCAUGCAGCCUUGCAGAGUUAUGGCCAUCUUUGCUAAUAAAAUGAACUUGGGUAUCUUCGCCAACUUAAUUAUGAACACUUUGUUCUCAACCAUAAAUCAAUAUUAAGAAAUCCCUGAAUUAAUCUGCAGUUUGAAGGAGUCAGCACCCUGUGGUUGCUGAAGGAUGCUUGCUCCUGCAGGGAAGCAGCCCAAGGUUAUGGUGGUGGCAGGGGCUGAAGGUGGCAGGAUGGAGUCUGCCUGUGCCCACCAGCAGGGACACAUCUCUGAGUUACCCUGCUUAGCAGAACCAGCAGGCAUCCAUCAACAACAAAGAGAUAUUCCAGGGUCACACAGGUCUGAGAGCAACUCUGGCCUCCAAUAUGGGUCCAACUGGCUGUAUUUAAACACUUGUCUAAGUCACAUGAACUGCACUGGGGUGGUUCCUUUAUUUUCUCUGUAUCCUCUGAUGUUCUUUUCAGGUUUGCAAAUAUAGUUCAACAAAUAUUAAAUAAGACAACUGGAGGAGAACUUCUGAAUUUUCAAGGUCUGUUUUCUGCUAUCACAAUAAACACAUUUUCACCUUGCUGAUUAAUGGCUCAAGAUUGAAACCAAAUUAGUUUUCUGCUAUUAUUAUUUCUAUUGAGUAUCAGCCUUUAGGUAAAAACCUUGUAUCUGAUUCCUUACCAUGCUUCUUUCACAGCUAGUUUUGAUGAGCUGAGAUUACUUCUGUGACUGGCCUGUUUACCUUCUGGCACUGUCAGACAGCAGUCCGUAUCUUGCUAGUCAACCUGCUGAAAACAGGCACAAUAAUUUCUAUUUCUCCUUUUGGAUUGACUCUUCACUUUUCAGACACCUCAGUAGCCUUCUCUGCAUCUACCCCAGCUGGUAUUCUUCUUUUCAUAAUCAAGGCAAAGCCUUUUACAAGGCUAAUGAAACUGCAUCCCUUGGUAUAAAUGUAGUCAUGACUUUAUUUCACAUGACAUCCAGCCCUACAGUAUCACAGCAGUCC